AACAGCCACACCUUAACCCUGACACUAGUUCUUUCUGUCAAGAUUGUUUUCAGGAGGAGAUUUUGUAUCAGGAUUAUGCCAGAGCCAGCAGUUCUGAGACCUGGUAGCAGGUUGGGAGAUGGGAAAGGAAGAGCCCAUAAAAAUUUGAUGGUGUCGCCUGCCAUGACUUCCUCAGACGUGAGAACCGACAGCAGCAAUCUGCCGGGUGACACUGAUGAGCGGGCUGCUGAGAGGGCGAUGAUGCUGUGGCACGGCUCGCACCUCGUUCCCCCGCCACGCAGGGCGGAUCGCUACAUCUACCCUCACACACAUCUCAUCUCUCUGACAGCUGCACUGAAAUAAGAUCAAAUGCUACGAAAUGCUAAUUCAUGUUGAAAUCACAUGCAAUUUCAGGUGAUGCUCACAUUAAAUGA